AAAGUAAACCGAUCUAUCGCUGCUCUCUCGGGAGCGGAGGAAAGUCCGGGCAACGCAGAGCAUCCUGCUUCCUAACGGGAAGGCGCCUUCAGUGGGCGACGGCAAGUGCCACAGAGAAUAUACCGCCUGUGUUUACACAGGUAAGGGUGAAAACGUGAGGUAAGAGCUCACGGCCUUGUAUGGCAACAUGCAUUGCGGUAAACCCCAGGAGUUGAAAAACCAAAUAGGUCCCGAAAGUGAGGCUGCUCGCUUCCGUGUGGUGCGCAAGUGCCAACGUUGGGAUGGGUAGGUUGAUAGAGCCGGUUAGCGAUAACCGGACCAGAUUAAUGAUAGAUACCCGGCAACGGGAUACAGAACCCGGCUUACAGGUUUGCUACUGAA
rnacentral:RNase_P_RNA from 1 species